GCGUAACGCGUAUGCAACCUACCUUUUACUGGGGGAUAGUCAAGAGAAAUUUUGAAUAAUACCCCAUACGAUCUGAUUCACUCCUGUGAAACAGAAGAAAAUUUCGAUGGUAAAAGAUGGGCAUGCGUCCUAUUAGUUUGUUGGUGAGGUAACGGCUCACCAAGACUACGAUAGGUAGGGGUCCUGAGAGGGAGAUCCCCCACACUGGUACUGAGACACGGACCAGACUCCUACGGGAGGCAGCAGUGAGGAAUAUUGGACAAUGGAGGAAACUCUGAUCCAGCCAUGCCGCGUGUAGGAAGACGGCCCUAUGGGUUGUAAACUGCUUUUAUACAGGAAGAAACGCUAGUACGUGUACUAGCCUGACGGUACUGUAAGAAUAAGGAUCGGCUAACUCCGUGCCAGCAGCCGCGGUAAUACGGAGGAUCCAAGCGUUAUCCGGAAUCAUUGGGUUUAAAGGGUCCGCAGGCGGUCUAAUAAGUCAGAGGUGAAAUCCUAUCGCUCAACGAUAGAACUGCCUUUGAUACUGUUAGACUUGAGUUAUUGUG
rnacentral:rRNA from 1 species